rnacentral:rRNA from 1 species
CAGUAGCCGCGGGAAUACGUAGGGUGCGAGCGUUAAUCGGAAUUACUGGGCGUAAAGCGUGCGCAGGCGGUUCGUUAAGGCAGAUGUGAAAUCCCCGGGCUUAACCUGGGAACUGCAUUUGUGACUGGCGAGCUAGAGUAUGGCAGAGGGGGGUAGAAUUCCGCGUGUAGCAGUGAAAUGCGUAGAGAUGUGGAGGAAUACCGAUGGCGAAGGCAGCCCCCUGGGCCAAUACUGACGCUCAUGCACGAAAGCGUGGGGAGCAAACAGGAUUAGAUACCCCCGUAGUCCCUGUCUCUUAUAC